rnacentral:rRNA from 1 species
AACGAACGCUGGCGGCAGGCUUAACACAUGCAAGUCGAGCACAUCCUUCGGGGUGAGCGGCAGACGGGUGAGUAACACGUGGGAACGUACCCUUUUCUACGGAAUAACGCAGGGAAACUUGUGCUAAUACCGUAUGUGCCCUUCGGGGGAAAGAUUUAUCGGAAAAGGAUCGGCCCGCGUUGGAUUAGCUAGUUGGUGGGGUAAAGGCCUACCAAGGCGACGAUCCAUAGCUGGUCUGAGAGGAUGAUCAGCCACAUUGGGACUGAGACACGGCCCAAACUCCUACGGGAGGCAGCAGUGGGGAAUAUUGGACAAUGGGCGCAAGCCUGAUCCAGCCAUGCCGCGUGAGUGAUGAAGGCCUUAGGGUUGUAAAGCUCUUUCACCGGAGAAGAUAAUGACGGUAUCCGGAGAAGAAGCCCCGGCUAACUUCGUGCCAGCCGCCGCGGUAAAAC